GCCAGCCUCAUAGCGCUGCUCACUUGCUUAACUGGGCAAAAUACCUGCUGUGGCAGCCCUGUGCCUGGACUGCCUCCGGGAGAAAGUUUCUUGGGAAUGGUGUGACUCAUUGCACAGCCAGAGGUUAUAAUGAAGUAUCCCACUCAUCCUUUAGCUCACCCUUUGUUCAAGACAAUGCAGAUUGCAGAAGGUUUCUGAGGAGGAGUACCUGGGAUAAGUUGCUGGGAAGAAGGAAGAAGGAGCACAGUUCUAUUGGAAAGAAUGUCUUGAUGCUGAUUAUUAAAAUGACGUGGAAGUCAUGGGCUGAAUUAAAUAUUUUUCCGUGGUGGAAAAUUGAUGGGAAAGCUUCCUGGUAUCAACAGCUCAUGUGAAACAGAGGAAGAGAUCCUUUUAUCACAGAAGAAGAGUGUCAAAAUCCAGAGCUAUUCUGAAUCAAUUUGCUCUUUUAAUUGUCUUGUGCAGACGUCUGUCUCUGUAGCAGAAAUGCUGAGUUCGUGCUACAUGAAA